AGAGAACUGAUAUUGGCUUUAGAAGGAUCAGUUUAGAAGCAGUGUGGAACAUACACCGAAAAGCUGCAAAACUGUAGGGUAGUUGUUGGAUGACUGCAGUGACUCAUGCACAUGAGAAUAGAGCUUUGAAGAGUAAUGACAUUGAGUGACGUUCCAAUUUCUGAGCUCAGAGUGAGAAGUGGCAGCUUUCAUUUCCUGCCUCCUGAGCCACCCCAUUAAGAACCCUGCCAGAGAGAAUCCUGUUAGAAUGCGAGAGACCACAGUGAAGAGCAGUAAGUCUCCAGACUGGUUAAGCGGAGAAGUGACGAGGAGAAACCAUUUUCUUUAGGAGAGUGCCUUCAUGAAUACUCUUGGAUUGGGUGAAUCCUUGUAAAGGAGCGUGCAAACAGGGAUGUUGCUGGAAGGAAUAUGAAGUCAUUGAGAACUUUUAAGAUGUCAUCCAGGAUGUGGAGAUGUAAGAAUGGGUACCAGAAUUCUGCAUAUUGAGGACUGAAUAGAAGAUGAGAAAAUGAAGGUACCUCUUGUGUUUUUCAUUUUAUUAGCCUUUUGUAACAAAACUUUCAACAAGACUAUUUGGAAUCUUGAAGGUUUUUGGAAGCUUCUGCAUUCAAAGUAAAAUAGACAUCCUGCUCUGUUUAAUUAAUUUUGGAACCCUUACUUUCAAGUGUACCUCUUAAAUAAUUUUUUGGCUAAUUGGAACAUUUCUCAUAAUGGUCACUAUAAUUCUACAUUAUUUAUUAUUUUUUAACUUUUUUAAAAUGUAUUCAUUUUGAAGAGACAGAGAGGACAGAGAGUGAGCAGGGGAGAGGCAGAGAGAGGGGGAGACAAUAUCUGAAGCAGGCUCCAGGCUCUGAGCUGUUAGCACAGAGCCUGACCCAGGGCUCGAACUCACUGACUGUGAGAAUCUGACCUGAGCCAAAGGCAGACGCUCAAUCGACUGAGCAACCCAAACACCCCAAAUUCUAGGUUAUUUUUAAUAAUUUUUUUCAUCUUGCUAGAUGUCUGCCAACUUCUGGGACCAUGGUUAUUAGACAAAAAAUAAGCAAGUGUACAGGAAGGUAGCCGACUUGCCUCUUUUGAAUUUAAGGAUCUCAUUAGCUAAAACUUUGGAUUUCUCAGAGCCCAAUAAACACCUAAAGGGAUGUGCUGCAGAUUGAGGGACUGUCCAUGUUUUACAGUGUUCCACAGUGCAAAGAAGUUUUCUUGAGGUUGCUGGGUGACCUAGUAUCGAUAUAACCUGUUCCAUGACCAACUUAUACUUAUCAUGGGAGUAUUCUUGAGGUGGUGAGUGCUCUAAAAGCUUUUAAAUGUUCAACCCAUGCCCACCAUUUUUUGCAGCUUUUUGGCUUCCAAAGCCCACUAGCAAUAGCUUUUAUUACACAAAGUAAGAAAGAUUAACAUUCACCUUAAUAUAUUAGCAGUACUGUGUCCUGGCCAUAAGAGGGCCCUGUACACACCACAACCAAUUCCCAGAGAAACUCCUAUGAGGUUUACUACCUGGGUAAUUGUGGCAUGAAAGGCUAGGGGCUUGGCUCUGAGCAAAACCUUCCGCCAGCUUAGGAGGACCAGCUUAAAGGAAAGCCAUUUGGACAGGGAACCCAAACACAAACCAGAGCAGAGCUCAGACAGAGAGGGGCUUACUCACGGUCCCUGGAAGCUUCGAGAACGUGAAUUCAAAGAUUUGCAGGUACCACGCUUAUGUUUCUCGUCUUCCUCCAUAUGCUGCUGGAUGUCUGCUUCGGAAUUUGUUGCUGCCACCAAAUCUAUUAAACAACAAAAUUCAACCAAGUAAAUUUGAAGAUCUAAUUGGCUUUAUUAAAUGAUUCAUGAAUGGGAUAGCAAACCCCCAUCUAGCAAGUAGACAGGCACUCCCCUUAGCAUAGUUAUUCAAAACCAACUGAUUAUGCCUGUUGAACUAUGCUGGCAUUGGAGAUUCUGUAAAUUGAAAUUUGUUUGUUUGGGUCACGUCGCUAUGGGAAUUUCAGUUCCUAGCAUUAAUCACCAUUUUGUAACCAUAGCUACUUCUGAUAAUUUCAAGGUAUUCGUGAUCUGGAACAUAAAAUAAUGCCCGAUAGAUGAAUUGCAUUCGAAUAAUAGUUAAAUGCUACAAGUUCUUCUAGUGCAGGUUUGACCUACAUUUAGCCCAGCAAAGCUAAUCAGGCAGAGAAACUUAAUCAGUGAAUCUAAUCAGCAAAAAACUAGGACUAUGCUUACACACAGUAGACCCUUUUUACCAGAAAAAUGAAGUCGUAUUUUUUUAAGUGGCUACAGUUAAAAAAUCGUUUUAUCAAUUUCUAAUUUAGUAUCAGUCCUGUCCUCUAGAGAGUUCAACAUUCUCUGGAUUAAAUUCAGCCUUAUGCAUAUGUUCAAAAAGCAAAUACGUUAAGCUGCUUUGUCUUUGCAUUAAGACAUGCCAAGUAUACACUAUCAAUCUGAUAGGUUUAGAGAAAAAAUAUAUAAUUGUAGAAAUAAAGGACUAUUUGAAUUGAUUUUCUCUUGAAAUACCUCCUUGGCUGCAAUGCAUUGCAUAAAUUAAUUGAUGCAAUUGAAUCACAAAAGAACAGUUUUGCUUCAUUUCCCCUCAAUUUAAUUUAGCUUUAGUAAAAAAAAAUAAAAUAAAAAACUCUCUUGAUAAUAAAUGAUGAAUGCUUUGAAAGUGUAUAGAUAGAUCAGUAUUUAACAGUGUAGAAAACUGAUUGUUUUAAAAUAAAAGAAUACCAGAGUUUCACUCUUUAUAUUAGUAAGAAAAUCAUGUGUGCAUGAGCAUGCUUAAAUGCAAAGAUUGGCCACAUCAUUAUAAAUACAGGAUCGUUAUCUUUUCUUCCAUAUUUAUCAUGGUUACCAAAAUUUGUAUGCAGCCACAGUUCUUGUUAACUCGUAAGACAAUGAAUCCUAGAUACUGAAUGGGUCCAAUGUAGAAAAGAAAAAAAAAGAUAAUAGAGUAAUAUAUGUAGCAAUCCCUGAACCAGAACAGCUUUUCUUAGAAUUGUAUCACUUCAUGUUGACUAGUGUUUAGUUCAUUUUGCCACCUUAUCUUCUAAGGGCAGGUCCUACAUGACAAAAUUGAGACUUAAAAAUGGAGUUUUAUUAUCCACUGCACAGUUUGAAACAUGUCUGGUAAAAUAAUUUAUAGAUUAUUUACUGAAACCAGUGGUAAUGCCUAUUGGCUCUCAAAGUAUAUAAAUGGAGAGAAGGUACUGAAAGCUUUUAAGCAGCAGAAAUACAGUGAAUACCUGGUCACCGAAUUUCCGUAAACUGAUACUUCAUCAAGUACUCUUGGCUGUCAAUAUAUGACAAAAUCCUUCCUGCCAACUGAUCUUUAAAUCAUAAAUCUUCUGACACAUCUUGUCAAAAGGGUUUAUUUAGUAUUUGGUUUGGAGCUAUGUCCACAAACACUACAUCCUUGGGACAAAAGUACCACAUUAUAUAUGAUAUACUAGUGUAUGUCUCAGUAGAAUCUUAAUGAGAGAUGAUAAUUUUCACCAUUUUAUAAUUACAUCAAUUGCAGUUAUUUACUUGCUUACACAUAAUACUAAGGGACAAAUCUAGGAGUUGUUUCCUGGUACAUCUGAUUUAAAAAAUCUGUAGCUUUUCUGCAAUACUACACUAUCUCACGUUAGCCUAUCUUCAAAUAUAAUGAUGGAAGAAAGAAAAUUUUGCAAAACUUAAAGAAUGAGGUUGCCUAUUAUGUUGGUUAAUAUCACAAAUCCUGGAGCCACAGUGCCUGGGUAUAUGAGGGUUCCUCAGAGAAACAGAACCAAUCGGAGAUCGAUCUAUCUAUCUAUCUAUCUAUCUAUCUAUCUAAGGAUUGGCUCACAUGAUUAUGGAGGCUGAGAAGUACCACAAUAUACCAUUUACAAGCUGGAGACCCAGGAAAGCUGGUAGUGUAGUUCCAGUCUGAGUCCCAAAGCCUGAGAACCAGGAGAACAAAUAAAAGUAAAUUACAAUCUGUGUCCAAAGAUCUGAGAACCAGGAGUGUUAAGUCCUAGUUCAAGGGCAGGAGAAGACUGAUUUCUGAGCUAAGCAGUCAGGCAAAGAGAUGGUUUUCCCUCCCUAUACCACACCCAAUAAAAAUGAAAACAUGCCCACCCAAAAGGUGUGCAUGAAUUUUUACAGCAGCAUUAUUUAUAAUAACGAAAAGGUGGAAACCAAUUCAAUGUCCAUCAAUAAAUGGAUGAAUAAACAAAAGUGGUAUAGACACACAAUAUAAUAUUAUUUAAUUAUAAAAAGGAAUGAAAUACUGAGAUAUAUUACAACAUGAUGGACCUUGAAAAUAUGCUAAGUGAUAGAAACUAGCCACACCCACACAAAAAACACAUAUUAUAUGAUUUCAUUUAUAUGAAUUAUCCAGAAUAGGCAAAUCUACAGAGGAAAAAGCACAAAAUAGUUCCUUAGGAUGGAGGACAGGGAAUGGAGGGAUAAAGAGAUGAUAGUCAAAAGGUAUGGGUUUUCUUUAUGUGGUAAUAAAAAUGUUCUAAAAUUGACUCAAUGGUGGUUGCAUAUAUCUUUGAAUAUGAUAAAGCCAUUGCAUUACGCACUUUCAGUGGGUGAAUUGUAUGAUCUGUGAAUUAUGUCUCAAUAAAACUGUUUAAAAUAUAAAAUGACUUGACUGGCAGCAAAGCCAAUACAUUUACUAGCUGUUAUUAUUAUCUGUUCUUUCUGAAAUGAACCACUUGACACAAAACCAUUAAAUCCUAUAUUCAGUUGCCGUUAAAUUAAAACCACAUUCCAAGGGUUUUUAUCUUUUGAUUCUGCCUAUUUGGUAGAAUUUAUAGAAAAUCUUUUUCAGCAAUCAUAUAAUAAAAAAGAAAAAGCAUGGGAAUUCAGGAUAUGGAGGUAGCAGUUGUUUAAUAACAAAAUAUGUAUGGAUUUGGCAUUUGAAUCAUUUAAUAAUCAUUUAGUAUGUGUACCAACCCUUUCAAUCACAUCAGUUAGAAGAGUCCCUAAUAAUAUAAUCCAUACCCAUUAUAGGUUUUAUGUUUAUUCAAAAAGGCAGGUUUCUUUGGGGAAUGAAAGUACGACUGCACAUCUUAAAACGUUCCCUUGUAUAGCAGAGAAGUACCUGUUUUUCCACUUACAGACUUUUCUCCUAGGGUGAGAGUUGUGCUAACUGAAUGUACAAUAUUUGGAUUUAUUUAUAAACUAACAACUGCGUGGGAAAGUUGACAAUCAAUUUGACCACAGACAAGUUGAAACAAUUUUUUUUCUCCCUCAAAGCAAAAUAGAUACUUCUUGAAACUACACAAAAGUGUUUAAAACCAUUUGCUAAAUUACCACUGAGUUUUAGCCAAUCUAUUUGGAAACAAAUCACAGUAAUUUCAGUAUUUACAGGGAGAUUGCUGGGUCACUGCAUAUCAGCAUUUUUUAACAUGACUGUAUUUAUGUAUAGAUAUGAGAAAAGGAAUAAAAAGGAGAGGAAAUAGAAAGCAAAGUGGAUAUUAUACCACCCCCGUUGCCCAACAAUCACCAUUCAAGUAUUUGCUAGAAGGGCUAUCAUUGGGCUGGCUACAAUUUAUCACCAUUUUCCUUGUCUUCCUUUCCAUUUACUCUCUUAUUUUCUGAUCUAUAUACUCACCAUUUAGAUUCUUUAAAAGAUACUACUACAUUCCCUACCAAUAUAUUUUUUUUGUUUGCUACAUUCAUUUACAUUUUGACAAUUUGCUGUAAAUAAAAGUUUCCAUUUACUUCUUGUCAAGGUUUCUGUUCUCUCCCCAUUUCCUUUCCUUUUCAUGUUUCAGUUGAGGAUAGCUGGACAAUAACUACAGUCAUUACAACCCAUGAUUGAAAUUCUCUAAAUCACCUAUCUCUACCUCUGAUUUUCUACUCUCACCGAAUUUACAAACAUUCUUUCACAUGCUCAAGAUUACACUGUCUUGUGUAAUUUUCCUGCCCUUUCUUAGUUCAUUGUGUUGCUAUAUAUCUUUAUUUUGAUUUUUAAUAAUUUAAAAAUUCUAACCACAUUUAGAGAUGGUUAAUCUUCUUGGUCUUUCAAUUAUUUUAAAGUAUUCCAAACAACUGUGUGACUAAAUGCACAUUCCUCUUCUUCAAUGCAAAUGGUUUUGAAUUUUGAUGAAAGAAUUCAUGAAAUUGAACUGGUUGAAAGGUAAAUUUGACACAGCUCGGUUUAUAUCAAUUUGAAUUCCAGAAAAAGUGGAAAACGUUUUAUUUUAACCAAAUGAUGUGCACAAGAACAUUAUGACUGUUAUCCUACCCUUUAACUACCACACUGAUUAAAACAGAUGCUAUACUUUCCUGAUUUCUACUGUAUCUGAAUGAAUUAUAAGUUUGGACUACAUUUGUAUUUUGGAAAAUCAUGUUUUCUAAAGCCACAGAAGACUCAGCUUUUUAAAAAACGUAUUUGGGGGCACCUGGGUGGCUCAGUCGGUUAAAUGUCCGACUUCGUUUGGCUCAGGUCAUGAUUUCACAGUUCGUGGGUUCGAGCCCCGCAUCGGGCUCUGUGCUGAAUGCUUGCUCAGAGCCUGGAGCCUGCUUCAGAUUCUGUGUCUCCUUCUCUCUCAGCCUCUCCUCCACUUGCACUCUGUCUCACUCUAUCUUUCAAAAAUAAAUAAAUGUAAAACAUAAAAAAUAAAAAAGUAUUAGUACUAAAGUAUUAAUAUUAAAAUUUCUUUUGAAACUGAUAUCCACUCCUACCUCCACAAAGGAGUUUAUUUGUAUCAAAUAAAAUACAUAAAUAUGACUGAGUUAUGAGAGAAUUGGUAGAAACUAUGAGAAUUUUAGCACAGAACAAUUUUAGCACAGAACAAGAUAUCAUACUGCAGUUCCAUUCCCCCACCCCGAAGUUAAUGUCAAAAAUAAUCAAGUGAGUACAAUUAGGUACUCCAAAAAGAUUAAAGGUAUUCAUAUUUGUGAA